rnacentral:rRNA from 1 species
UAUGACGCUGGCGGCAUGCCUUACACAUGCAAGUCGAACGGUANCAGGUCUUCGGACGCUGACGAGUGGCGAACGGGUGAGUAAUACAUCGGAACGUGCCCAGUCGUGGGGGAUAACUACUCGAAAGAGUAGCUAAUACCGCAUACGAUCUGAGGAUGAAAGCGGGGGACCUUCGGGCCUCGCGCGAUUGGAGCGGCCGAUGGCAGAUUAGGUAGUUGGUGGGAUAAAAGCUUACCAAGCCGACGAUCUGUAGCUGGUCUGAGAGGACGACCAGCCACACUGGGACUGAGACACGGCCCAGACUCCUACGGGAGGCAGCAGUGGGGAAUUUUGGACAAUGGGCGAAAGCCUGAUCCAGCAAUGCCGCGUGCAGGAUGAAGGCCUUCGGGUUGUAAACUGCUUUUGUACGGAACGAAAAAGCUUCUCCUAAUACGAGAGGCCCAUGACGGUACCGUAAGAAUAAGCACCGGCUAACUACGUGCCAGCAGCCGCGGUAAUACGUAGGGUGCGAGCGUUAAUCGGAAUUACUGGGCGUAAAGCGUGCGCAGGCGGUUAUGUAAGACAGAUGUGAAAU